rnacentral:misc_RNA from 1 species
AGACACAAACUUAAAGCUAUAUAAGUUUUAUAUUUCUACACAUACUACUAUCUCGUUCCACAAUCAUUGAUAUGCAACAUCAUAUUGAUAUUUAUAAUCGAGAUCAAAUAACACUCAACAAUUACCAAAAGACUAUAGAAGGAUUGAAAUUUUUCGAAAUACCUUCACUUAACACCAUCGAAAACCAUUCCUCAACUUCGAAAACAAGCUUAAAAGCUCGAAUUUUUCAUCAAAAGAGCUGUCAAUCCUCCUCAUCACUCUCAUCACUA